rnacentral:lncRNA from 1 species
CUCGUUGACCCGUUUACUCCGAGAACGCACGCGACGGUGGUGCCGUGGAACCUGAGCAGCUCGUUUCCGUCGGCGAUACAUCUCGGGUGUUUCUUCUGUAGCUUGCUCGCUCUGCUCUUCACCGUGUCUCUGUAUUCCUCGAAUCUGGCUAGUGUUUUAUGCAUGUUGUGCACUUUCAGUAUCCGAUCGAUUCUCUCGCCUUGAUUCUCUGACUUUGACCAGCUUGUUCUGCAGAUUAUCUCCACGAUUUUCCGGGACGAAUCGCCAUCCACGAGCUCAGUCACUGAAAAUUCGGGUAAAUUCAAAUACUUUGAUAAAGAC